rnacentral:rRNA from 1 species
UACGGGGGGAGCAAGCGUUGUUCGGAUUUACUGGGCGUAAAGGGCGCGUAGGCGGUCAGCACAAGUCAGUUGUGAAAUCUCCGGGCUUAACUCGGAAAGGUCAACUGAUACUGUGCGACUAGAGUGCGGAAGGGGCAACUGGAAUUCUCGGUGUAGCGGUGAAAUGCGCAGAUAUCAGGAGGAACACCAAUGGCGAAGGCAGCACUCUGGGGACGUGACUGACGCUGAGACGCGAAAAGCGUGGGGAGCAAACAGG